rnacentral:rRNA from 1 species
GACGAACGCUGGCGGCGUGCUUAACACAUGCGAGUCGAACGGAAAGGCCUCUUUCGUGGUGUACUCGCGUUGCCAACGGGUGAGUAACACGUGAGUAACCUGCCCUUGACUUUGGGAGAACUUCAUUAAAGUAGGGGUAAUAACUGAUAGGAACUCUUUUUGCCUGGUUGGGGUUGUAAAGAUUCGGGGGUUUGGGGUGGACUCUCGGUGUAUCAGCUUGUUGGUGGGGUAGUGGCUUACUAAGGGUUUGACAGGUAGCCGGCCUGUGAAGGUGACCGGCCACCUUGCGCCUGAGAUACGGCGCAGAAUCCUACGGGCGGCAAUAGUGGGAAAUCUUGCAGAACAGGUGGAAGCCUGAUGCAACAACGUCGUGUGCGGGAUGCCGGCCUACGGGUUGUAAACAGCUUUCGCACAUGCCGAACAUUUGUGUGCGGGUAGUGGGUAGAGAAGCACCGCUAACCUACGU